AUUGAACGCUGGCGGCAGGCCUAACACAUGCAAGUCGAGCGAGCGGCGGACGGGUGAGUAAUGUCUGGGAAACUGCCUGAUGGAGGGGGAUAACUCCUGGAAACGGUAGCUAAUACCGCAUACCAUCAGAUGUGCCCAGAUGGGGUUAGCUAGUAGGUGGGGUAACGGCUCACCUAGGCGACGAUCCCUAGCUGGUCGGAGAGGAUGACCAGCCACAAGGGAACUGAGACACGGUCGAGACUCCGACGGGAGGCAGCAGUGGGGAAUAUGGCACAAUGGGCGCAAGCCUGAUGCAGCCAUGCCGAGUGUGUGAAGAAGGCCGUCGGGUUGGAAAGCACUUUCAGCGGGGAGGCGUUACCCGCAGAAGAAGCACCGGCUAACUCCGUGCCAGCAGCCGCGGUAAUUC
rnacentral:rRNA from 1 species